GAUGAACGCUGGCGGCGUGCCUAAUACAUGCAAGUCGAGCGAACAGACGAGGAGCUUGCUCCUCUGACGUUAGCGGCGGACGGGUGAGUAACACGUGGAUAACCUACCUAUAAGACUGGGAUAACUUCGGGAAACCGGAGCUAAUACCGGAUAAUAUAUUGAACCGCAUGGUUCAAUAGUGAAAGACGGUUUUGCUGUCACUUAUAGAUGGAUCCGCGCCGCAUUAGCUAGUUGGUAAGGUAACGGCUUACCAAGGCAACGAUGCGUAGCCGACCUGAGAGGGUGAUCGGCCACACUGGAACUGGGCCACGGUCCAGACUCCUACGGGGGGCGGCAGUAGGGAAUCUUCCGCAAUGGGCGAAGGCCUGACGGAGCAACGCCGCGUGAGUGAUGAAGGUCUUCGGAUCGUAAAACUCUGUUAUUAGGGAAGAACAAAUGUGUAAGUAACUAUGCACGUCUUGACGGUACCUAAUCAGAAAGCCACGGCUAACUACGUG
rnacentral:rRNA from 1 species